UACGUAGGGUGCAAGCGUUGUCCGGAAUUAUUGGGCGUAAAGAGCUCGUAGGCGGCUUGUCGCGUCGAAUGUGAAAUCUCGGGGCUCAACUCCGAGCUUGCAUUCGAUACGGGCAGGCUAGAGUUCGGUAGGGGAGACUGGAAUUCCUGGUGUAGCGGUGAAAUGCGCAGAUAUCAGGAGGAACACCGGUGGCGAAGGCGGGUCUCUGGGCCGUAACUGACGCUGAGGAGCGAAAGCGUGGGGAGCGAACAGG
rnacentral:rRNA from 1 species